rnacentral:lncRNA from 1 species
CUUAUAAGUAGAGGAGAGGACACACAGAGACAUGGGAAGAAGGCCAUGUGACAAUGGAGGCAGAGAUUGGAGCGAUGCAGCUACAAGCCAAGGACCACUGAGGAUUGUCGGGAGCCACCGGAAGUUAGGAAGAGGCGAGAAGGAUCCUCCUCUGGAGCCUUUAGAGGGAGCCUGGCUCUGCCAACACCUUGAUUUUGGACUUCUAAACUCCAGGAGCGUGAGAGAACACAUUUCUGCUGUUCUAACUGACCUAGUUUGGGGUGAUUUGUUAUGACAGCCCUAGGAAGGUCCUAUAGGAGAAUUUGUGAGGCAGCAGAGGAUAACAGAUACAGUUAUGUAACCAAAUUACUCUUAUACUGUACUCAUUGACGUUUCAGUGGAUAAGCAUGUGAAACAACACUUGUUUCUUUGGGCUGUUUUUCUGUGUUUUUGGCGAUUUUGCAAAAUUUUAUCUGGUACUGCCUUCUUCAUCAGGACAAGAGGGCUCAGAUGGGCUAAGACGUGAGACACCGGGAUGCAUAAAGCAUGCGGCUUCACACACGGACCCUAGGGUGCUGCGACUCUGAAUGAGCCAAGAAGACGCCAUCAGCUCGAUGAAGAGGCACUCAGUUGUUCAAAUGUGUCCAAUGAUCUGGAUGUUUGGCUUCUGAAAAUGAAACAUCUGGAGCAUGAAGUAAUGUUUUCACUUUUCAGCUAUAUUUUGGUAUUAUAUGG